UGAGGGGCUCUACUGCCAUCUAACGGUCAACUUAAAAUACUCACAUCCGUGUUGUAUUUUCCUGCAUGUCCAUCUCGACUACGGGCAUACAUUUGUUAGGUGUCAACUAUGACCGACCGACAGAGGGAACUGCCGUCUUGGAUGUCGCUAAAGGAGAAGGCGAAACCAAAUCAGGCAAUGACGAACAUUAGAAAGGUUUCACGAACGGUAUAUUGCAUGAACGAGAAGGAGCUUGUUGAAGCAGCGAUUGCAUUUAUUAGCCAUGGGGCAAGUGACGCUUUUCUUUACAACCACUAGGUCGCGCCAUUCUAAUUGAAUGGAGUUUAAACCAAAGGUAUUACACAUUUUAAAAACAAAACAACUUCUCACAUAUUGAAAUGUUAUUACUUUUUUGCCCCGGGUGACAGGAGGUGAAUGGAGACAGAAGGCUGGCAAGCGCUAUGAGAAUCCAGGACUGUUCUAAAGAAAUAGAAGAGACUUUGGGUGAAUCCUCUAGCUCCUAUAAUCAGGACAGAACCUACAUUUCAGAGACCGACAUGGACACUGUAGAAGAUGCACAGACAUUAUCCCCCCACCUAUAUUUCUCUGGACAACAGUCUGAAGGUCAAAGACAACAGUUUGAAGGUCAAAGGUCAUUACAGGCUCGAGACUCUCAGAGUCCGGUUGCACCUGAAACAGGCCCCACAGUGGUUGCUGAGUCUCCGCCCACUGAAGUCGAAGAGGACGACUCGUUCAAGCUUGUAAGGGAAAUCUUCUUCACAAAGGAUUAAACUCUAUUCCAGGACACGCCUCAGUUCUUGCCUAUUACUGUUAUAACCCUUAUCAACUUAAAAUGAUUUGGUAAUUGGUAACCCUCAUUAGAAACAUAGUGAACUACGUUGUUACUCUCCAGAACAUCUGGGGUGUGUUCUUUUGAGUUUCCUGUUAAUUGCGAUGGAAUGGGACCAUGGCACUCUAGACUUCCAUGUUUGUACCGAAGUCCAAAUAUAGAGAUAACAAGCAAUGGCACUUUAGCUAAAAUGUAAUUAUUUUAUUUGUAUGAAAGCCAUAAAAGAUUAAAGAUUGUAAAAGCAUAGGGUGGUCACUGUCAAACACUGGUAUACAUAAUGCCAUAAUUAUUUUUUAAUUAACAGUAUUGUAUCAUAACAGUUUGAAAGGAGCAGCGAUUUUGUAAGAAAUAUCUGUGCAAAAAUAUAAUUUCAUGAGGUUGAAACGAGAAUACAAUCAUCAACACUGGUGGAAAGCAUGCUUUUGUUGUUGGUGAUCGAGCUUCCUCCACAACACAUAACUCAGAUACGUUGUAACGGCCAACUCAGCGGUUACUAAAACACAGCAGUAGUAGUACACGGUCAUAGCUGAUGGACUGGCAUAGGCCCAGUGGAGUCCGACAAACCAGACCAAGCCCAGUAGGCUGAGGGCGCUGGCGGCAGCCUGGCACCACAUGCUGAGCCGCAGCACGCUGGAGCCCGCACCGUCUGAUAGCAGCGAGCUCAGCAGAGCAAAGGGCACAAGCACCACAGGGACGUAAAGACAAAGGAUAACAGCUGGUUUUGAUGUGAUCAUAGUUGUCUCAAAAGCUCUGAUUACGACGGUUGAUAUAAGUGCUUGGCAAGAUAGUAUUUUGCCGUGUUGUCCCUUUGAACAGAAAUUGAAGGGACUUAUGGUGACUUCAUUGGAAUCGAUGAAAACAGCUGCAAAUACGAAGAGGGCGAAAAUCAUCUGUGUCCAAAUAAUGAGGAGAGCCAAAGACAGCGAUUGCAACCUGCAUGUCGUCAUUUUAGCUGAGAUCACACGGGAAGAUCUAUUCAGACAAGCAAAACACAAACUAAAUCAGGAUAGUUCAUUUGAUCAAGAAAGGGAUAUACAAAUAUUACUUUUUGCACAUUAUAACAAACCAUAUAUUAUUUAGCACUGCAUUUUAAUAUUGGCAUUUUGAUAAAAUUCGAUAUUAAAAAGCAAGAGUGGCCUACAAAAUAGACCUUUUACUACCUAAACAUACAAUAAUACUUUUCACUUUAAUGAUCACAGGGAGGGGGGACUAUCAACUAGGCUAUAUUUAAUUAGAUUUUAACUUACUGCGCAGAUGGACCACAGCGUUAACUGGAAAGGUCUGUUUAGUUUCACGAUGAUUAUAUCAGCUGUGAGUUGUUUACUUUGUGGAAGGUGUGACUGUCCCUUUCGGUUUGACCAUCGCCCUUUGCACUUGGCCAUCGAAUAAUUGAUUUAUAAUUUUUUUUAUCCAAGGGUUCAUUACCUUUUUUAGACAGCGAUAACAACCUGCAUCUCGUCAUCUUAGCUGUGAUCACACACACGGGAAGAUCUAUUAAGACAAGCAAAACAAAUAAAACCAGGAUAGCUUAUUUUAUCAAGAAAGUGCACAAAUAUCACUUUUUGUACAUCAUAACAAAACAUUGAUUGUUAAGCACUGUAUUUUGAUAUUGGCAUUUGGAUAAAAUUCGACAAUAAAAAGCAAGAGUAGACCUACAACAUUCACUUUUUACUCGACUUAAACAUACAACUCUGUAUUAC